GACUGACUGACUGACUGACUGACUGACUGACUGACUGACUGACUGACUGACUAACUAACCAACCAGCCCCCGCAGGCCGGGCCGGCGGGAGCGGAGCGCACCGCGGGCACAGCCCCGCACGGCCAGCCGCACUAAGCUGUGUGCUGCGGAGCCAAGGGUGCCCUGCACCCAAUCUCCGUCUGAGCCUUCACGCUUCGUGCCAGUUGUCACAAGUGUUCUAUUUACAGAAUCAGUAAGUGUGUAAGUAUCUGAAGGAUGGGUGUCAGGAGGAUGGACCAGGCUCUUCUCAGUGGUGCCCAGCAAUUGGAACAAGAGGCAAUGGGCAGUUUCAUCUGAACAUAAGGAAGAACUUGUGUGCUGUGAGGGUGACCAAGCGCUGGAACAGAUUGCCCGGUGAAGCUGUGGAGUCUCCCUCACUGGAGAAUUCAAGAACAGCCUGGACACAAUCCUCUGCUCUAGGAUGGCCCUGCUUGAGUACGGAGGUUGGACCAGAUGAACCCCUGUGGUCCUUUCCAAUCUGACCUGUUCCGUGAGUCUGUGAUCACAGCAUCUUCAGAGUAGGAAGGGACACACAAGGUUCGGCAGAGUCCAGCACAAGGGAAUAUUUAGUAGGAAAAGUUUGCUUUUAGGCACUUUUUGAGAAGGAUUUGGAAAAUUUCAGGGUUUCUUUAUGUAUACAGAAUCUCGCUUUUCUCUUAAAACAUUUACCCUUUGCCUAAAAAUUUACCUUGAAGAGAAUUUCACCAAUCUUUUCACACAGGCUCAGAGCCCUGGGAGCUGCUGAUUCGUGUUCAACCUGGCCUACCCUGAGUCAUUAGCAUGGACAGCUACACCAUUGGCCACCAGGGAUGGCAGCCCUCCCUUCGCCUCUCCUGGGGCACAGGAUUUGAAGAUAAAUUCAUAUUGCAGAGGAUAGGAACCCUGACGUGUAUGUAGGUACCAGAGCUGAGAUACAGAAUAUUCUGCAGGAUGUGACACAGAGGCAGCCAUUGCUAGGAGCCACUACUCUAUGAAAUGAUUCAUUCUCUUUUGCCCAAACCCUUAAAAAAUAGCCAGAAGAUGAACUACUGUGGAGAACUUCAUCUCAAGUGCCUUUGAUGCAAAGCUCAGAGUACUAAACUACAACACAAAUCAUUAGAAUGCUAUAACUGCAAAUUUUGCGUAACCAACAUUGAAGCAUUGUUUUAAAAUUCCAUGUUUGAAAAUGAUGGAUUUCUCUGUAUUUGUACUUUUCAUCCAAACGUACCAAACAUUGCCACAAAAAAUGUGGAAGUACCCAGGAUGCAGGAGCACCAAUGUACUUUUCAUGGUCUGGUCUUUUCUAAGUCCCCUUAGGCACCUGGUAGGAUUACGUAACAUUUAUGCUGCUGGCCUGGAUGGGUCAGCAAUGACUGUACUGAGUAUGAGAGUUCAGGCCCAAAUAUGCUCUUGUGCAAUAGUUAUGAACAGGCUAGCCAAGGAAUAAGGAGAACUUGAACAUCUGAGAAGCAGAGAGUCAAGGAAACACUGGUACUUUUGACUCAUACUAAAAGUAGUGUGCAUCUCAUUUUGCAUGGUUUACUCAAUGGCUGUAAUUGUUUGGUUCUUUUUUUUUCCGUGAAGAUCUGUGCAUGAAUUUUCUGGGAAGUAGAGACAUCUAUGAGCCUUAAGGUUUUACAGUAUUUCAGUACCACUUCAGGGUGCUUUGACAGUGCUCAGUGUUAUGCAAUAUUGUUUGAUUUGCUUUAAUUCUAUUACAAAUGGAUUAUUAUUAAAUUCUGCUAGUAAUGAAGAUAUUAAUUAUUGAUUGGCACUACAUUGGCCUACAGUUUUAAUCCAAUGCAUGGACUGUAAAAAGCAAAGGGAAUGACAGUCCCAGACAUGUUCACUGCUUCAAAGUGAUUUGCAAGGAACAGCUCAUUAAGAUUUGGAUGAUCAGUGAAAUUAAUACCAUCAUAAUAUUCUUGAUGUCUUGGUGUGAACUGAUUCCAGGUUUUGAAUGAGUUGCAUCAGAGAAACAUAUGUGUUUCUAUGAUCUCUUCUAAUGCCCUGAAAGGAGUAAGAUGAACCAAUAAGAGGAACACAGUUUCUUCUAAUCUUCACUUAGUCCAUGAAGGGAAAAAAACAUGUGAUGCUUAAAUAGUCCAUUUUAAACCCUUCUCCCAUCAAACUAGUUAUAUUCAGUAGGGAUACUAAAACUUACAGUUUUUCUUUCAGUGGGAAAUUCUUGUUUAUCACUGCUGUGUACUGUCACAACGACCUCAUGCACAAAAUGUGCCGUGAGUCACCAAAGAUAAUCUUUUUGAAAGGGCAAGAAUGCUCAGACAUCUACCUGUAGCUGAAAAAAGAAGCCUGUCAGUGUCCAAACUUCUCCUAUGUUUGUUUCCAUUUCAACAAGUAAGGAAACACUUUUGGUGUUUACUAUAUGGGCUUCACAUCACCUUUUUGAUUAAUAACAAUGGCAGUCUGGAGAAAUGGCUUGCAUGUGGUAGUAAAGGUAGUAAAGCUGUUGCUGUUGCUUUUGCAAAGCGGCCCAAGGCUUUGGUCUCUUAGCAUCACCAGAACCACCUAUCCUGUGCAUCUCAGUAUGACCCCUUUGUUCUCACGCCAGCAUUGUUCUUUAGCUUAAAUAACCUCUCUCCCUGAUGUUUGUUUUUCUCUGAUGUAUUUUUUAGACCACGGUGCUAUUCCCUCAUGGUUUCCUUGCUGGAAAACCUUACACUUUUUAUCCUGAGUGUCAGUGAGGAUGGUGUGGGGUGGUGCAGAGUGACUGUUUGCAGGCAGAACCUGCGGGAGGGUUUUUGUUGAGGCCAAAUCUCUCCUGGGACACAGAGAAGCACAUGGCAUGCAUUAGGCAGAAUGCGGCCAUUGUUCCUUACCCAAGCACAGAGUUUCGGAGAACUGCUGUGGGGAAUUACAUUUGAUCUGCCAGUGUUUUUUGGACAGCUAGAAAUUUACUGUUCCAUUCACUAUGUGCUUGGGGAGCUAUAGCUGGCCUGUGAAGCACGGUAGAGUGAAAGAGGAUACCACAAGAAAAAAUACGUUCUGCUUUUCUGACACUUGUUCACAUAUGCAUCUCUUUUUCAGUGCCCAAUAAGCUUUGCCUCUCUUUUGUUAUAAAAACUUCUCUGAGAAUCAGACUCUUUUCUACAGAGAAUUGGGCAGAGAAAAAUCCCAAUAAAAUGAACUGUGCAUUUCAAUGGUCUGAUUGAUGGGAUUUGUGUAUUUAAAAUUAUGUCCUGGCAUAGCUUUAUGUUUAAAACAUGCAACACAAGCUUCAUGUCAGCAAAAUUACUAAAACAAUCUGCACAGAGAAGACUUUUCUCCCUGAAUAAUAUGCAGUAAUUAUUUUUGAAUGACAAACUAAUAUAAAUUAUUACUAAAUAGCUGAACUAUUUCCUUGGCAUUGAAAACUUAACCAAAAUGGACAAUUCUCGAAAGUGCUGCAGAGCAGUGCCAGCCCUGAAAGGUUUUUAUUACUAAGAUUAUGACUGGAAUAUUUUCCACAAUUCCUCCCCUCAGUUUUAGUACCUUAAUACUUAGCAACUACCACUAAAAUCUUCAACUAUUGCCAUGCUCACUGUCAGACCUUGGUGCCAGAUAUGUCUUCUGACAGUCCCUUCCUGUAAAGAAACCACAUGGGGGGGAAAGGUGAAAGGGGAAACAGCCUGCAACGUAGACAUUUGCCUUUAUGCAAUGUAGACACUAUGCAGU